rnacentral:rRNA from 1 species
GUCUAUAACGGGAUCUUGAGGAAAUCAGAUAAUGCAUUUUGGUUGUAUCAACUAUACUGAAUCUGCAAAGCCUUUUUUGUGUGCAGAGAAAUUCACCCUCUGCAUUAGUUGCAAAAGAUGCUGAUUUUGAUCAUAACAAUUAUAGUUGUUCAAGCAGUAGCAGAUUUGGCAACCUCACAGUCAUCUCAUUCAGAAUUCACGUCCUAUCCUCAACGGAGCUUAAGAUGCUGAUUUUGAUCAUAACAAUUAUAGUUGUUCAAGCAGUAGCAGAUUUGGCAACCUCACAGUCAUCUCAUUCAGAAUUCGCGUCCUAUCCUUAACGGUUAGCUUAUUAACGCGUUGUGGGCACUUCAUUUGGCAUCGUCUUUCAGGCUAAAUUCUUGGAAACUGGGGAGACGGUGGCCAUUAAGAAGGUACUGCAGGACCGACGGUCCAAGAACCGGGAGCUGCAGCUUAUGCAUUUGAUUAACCAUUCCAAUGUUGUUCUCCCUCAAGCACUGCUUCUUCUCAACCACAAGUAGAGAUGAGCUGUUUCUGAACCUUGUCAUGGAGUAUGUCCUGGAGACACUCUACCGUAUGCUUAAGAACUACAGUAAUGCCAAACAGGGGAUGCCACUUAUCUACGUCAAGCUUUACACCUAUCAGGGGGCUUGCGUAUAUUCAUACUGUUCCUGGAGUCUGCCACAAGGAUGUGAAGCGACAAAAUGUUUGGUCUUGCUGUUCGUGGCCAUUACGCUGCACACCAUCAGGCAAAAUAAGGCAACGAAGGCAUACAAGUAUAUCGCAAGGUCAAUGCUAUAUGUGUAUGUAUGUAUGGAUGGAUAGGUGCUACUGAAGUGAGAUUCCGAGAAAAUCUGCAUAUAAGUAUAUCGCAAGGUCAAUGCUAUAUUAUUCUUGCCUGUUUUUCCUUAAGAUGCUACACUAGACUGCAGUUUUUGUUGUCACUACAACGAUGUAUUUUUCGAUUCCAUCUGCUGUCGACACAAUGCACAGAGGGUUCAACAACUGAAUAUUGUUAUGAUAACACAUGUUUAGUUGGUGUGUGCUUUGUCAGAUAAAAUGCAUGUUUCUCAGGAGACAAAGACUGCAGUUAAUUCCGAAGGAGAAUAGCAACCUUUGCUUCUGCUAGGUUCAAUGAGCAUAUGGUAAAGGAAGGUAUCAGUGGAUUCACCAACGUAGAUUACAAGAGUAAAGGUUUAUCUAAUGAGGCCUUGUCGCGGCGCUGCAAGUGUUGCCCCCUCCUCCCCAAGGGCAAGGUGAAGGAAGGUGCCUGUGUGGUUCUUCUGCAGCUCGCAGCGAGGAUUGCUGUGUCCAACCUGCACAAAAAUGCCAAGAAGUCUUUCUCGGAGAUGAUUAAGGACAUGUACCUGCACUACAAUGAGAGAUAUGGGCUUCUUUGUGGCUUCCAAACUUGAAAUGUUUGUUUGGAAGUUAGAGGAGGAGCUGGAACACUUUCUAGCUAGAACUGUUCUACGUGUAUGGAUGGUUGUUCUUCUGGUACUUGCAUCAAGUUAUACAACAAGCUUUGCAGCAAUGCUUACUGUACAGCAGCUUUCACCAACAGUGACUGAUGUUCAUGAACUCCAGAAGAAUUGAGAAUAUGUAGGGUUCCACCAAGGUUCCUAUAUAGAUGGUCUACUGGUGGAGAUUGGUUUUGAUACAUCAAAGAUCAAGGGCUAUGCUACACCUGAUGAUUUCUAUAGUGCUCUUUCUAACGGAAGCAUUGCUGCGGUUGUACUCGAAGUCCCAUAUAUUAAAUUGUUUCUCACAAAGUACAACAAAGGUUACACAAUGGUGGGGCCUAUUUACAAGAGUGCGGGUUUGCAUUUGCGCUUCCCAAGAAUUCUCCGCUACGUCCUGAAAUGUCGACUGCAAUACUCAACAUAACCGGAGGAGAUACUAUCAAUCAGUUUGAAAAGAAAUGGAUAGGUCAAAAUAGCCAUGAAAAUGAUGACAUGCCUGAUGGUUCAGGCACUAUCAACUUCGAAAGUUGUGGGGGAUUAUUCCUCAUAUCUGGAAUUGUGACAACCGGUUCCCUUUUAGUAGCCAUGCUGAUGAGCCGCUAUAAAAAACGUCAACAAAAUGCAGGGAACAAACGGGAUGACCAAAAUGAAUCUAGACCUGGGCAGGAAAAGAAGAAGAUGGAAGAACAAGGAGAUCAAAACAGCAAUGGAGAGGGAACUGAAUUGACGGAGAGCCAAACAACAUUGUCAGUGCCUCACAGUUCGAACGGAAAUGGUGACCAGCUUACCAGGCAGUAGAUGCAUGCACACACACCCAAAAUAAGAAGGCAACAUUACCAACUCUUUAUGUGCGCAAAUUAUUCAUAGGGAGGCAAAAGUGGUAGGUCACUCAAGUUAGUUCCAAACUGAGCAAAGUUCACCUUUCAGGCUCCAAGAUGAACAACUGCGGAGGAAUUGGCCAUGCAUGCGGAAUCAAGUAAAUUUGCUUCAGCCUUUCAGGCAUCGCUCGGCCCACAGAGCAGCUGAAAAAGCUAAGGCUAUGUGUGAUAGUUAAGUAUUGUAUGUAAAAAUCAAAGUAUCAAAAAACUACAGUAAUUUAGACUGUCAGCUAUAAAAUACCGUGGUCCUUGACAUAACAGAGUAUGGUGUCAGGACGUCUUGAAUGUGUUGCCGUGAAUGAAG